rnacentral:siRNA from 1 species
ACGUCGUGCUGCGGAGCGUUCAA